rnacentral:rRNA from 1 species
GAUCAUGGCUCAGGAUGAACGCUGGCGGCGUGCCUAACACAUGCAAGUCGAGCGAAGCACUUUGCUUAGAUUCUUCGGAUGAAGAGGAUUGUGACUGAGCGGGCGGACGGGUGAGUAACGCGUGGGUAACCUGCCUCAUACAGGGGGGAUAACAGUUAGAAAUGACUGCUAAUACCGCAUAAGACCACAGCACCGCAUGGUNCGGGGGGUAAAAAACUCCGUGGUAUGAGAUGACCCG